ensembl:lncRNA
UCAUCCUUCACCAUUAAAAAAAAAGAGUAGAUAAUAACAUAACAUGUGUGGUCCAAAAUUUUGAAUAGUAAACCAAAAUCUAUGAGAACUAUAGAAAACAGGAAAAAUCUUUAAGCCUGAGAUACAUGAUCUUAUGCCAAUGUUGCCAGUACUAUUUCAGAUGGGGAAAGUAUAGCGAUCAAUGUUAUUUAAUUUUUUUUUAUUACAACAGGAGUUCUCAAAACUUGGGAUGUUGGAAGGAUGUUGAGGUUAAAAUUGUUUUCGUUCUGCUUAAAUAAGAAAAUCUUUCUUGUGUCUAAUACAAUGUUAGACUUUCCAGUGCUUGGAGGGCCCACUUUAAUGUAGUGGAACCAGUAGAAUAUAUACUCCACCAAAAGAAUAGUAAGUAAUUCCAUCCAUCCAUCUUUAAAACACUUAUCGUGCAGACAGGGUUGUGGGGGGCUGCAGUCAAUCCCAGCCAAUUUUGGGCGAGAGACAGGGCACACCUUGGAUUGGUUGGCAGCCAAUUGCAGGACUAACACAGAGACAAACUAACAUUCAAACUCACAUCCACACACCUACGGGCAAUUUAGAGCCACCAAUUAACCUGAUCCCCAGAGCAUGUCUUUAGACUGUGGGAGGAAGCCAGAGGACCCGGAGAGAACCCACGCAGACAGGGGGAGAAUAUGCAGACCGCACACAGAAAGGCCACAGGGAGAAGUCGAACCCAGGACCUUCUUGCUGUGAGGCCACAGUGCUAACCAUGACACCACCGUGCUGCCCGUAUGGCAUUCCAAUAUAUUUGAAUGUUAAAGUAUUUGCUUCGAAUUCAGCAUUCUGCAAAUGUGCUUCUUCCCCUUUCUUACAGAUUGCAAAUCAUUGACACGCAUGUGGCUUCAGCAGACCUCUAUUGGACAUAAUAAAUGUUUCCACUCUUUACAUUGAUGUUCCUAACAAGGAUAUCUCAAAUUCUCUGAAUUCAACUGAGGACACCGCCAGCUUGGCCAAAAGUGUGGCGUAUAAUGGACUAAACUAUAGAUGUGUGAUGAUUUUGAUCAAUGGCUUACUGGAUACAUGGCCAGUUUGAUAAAAUCAUAUAAAUGGUGAUACUGCAAGACAAGUUCAUCUUCAUUGUGUAGAAGCUCAGCCUGUAAAAUUAGAAAUGAAUGAUUUGAAUAAUAAAUAUUCUUUUUCAUUGUGUAACCAGUGAGGAAAUGUCCCUCCUGAGCUACUGUAGGCUCAGGCAGGCCUCGGUACCUCCUACUUUGUGGUUUGACAGGGUAUAAAAGCUGCACAUUAUGUAGCAGCUGUCAGUAUGCUUGUCCCUUUCUGUGUUGGAGUCUGGUUGGACAAUCUAGUGAGCUGACUGCUAUGGCUGGUUCCACACCUGCAGAAUCCAGAUUAACAUUGAAAAACUAACACUUCCAAAUGCUUGCCAGAGUCUCUAGAUAUCUUCACUGCAAGAUGAAGACAACCUUUAGGUUAAAGGGCAACCUCUGACUUCAAUACAUGGAUUAAGAUUUUGCCAAUUACUUAUUUAAUCUAAAUUCUACCACUGAAUUUCAGGGACAAGUAGGAGGCCAAACAGUUGGUUCAAUAUGCGAUGGGCAAGAAACCUGGUGGAGACCGUAGUGCCAUGAAUACAAAAAAGUCUUGUAGGACACAACUGCAAUUGCUGAUUAUGGGCGGUCGACCUAAACUGACAGACCUGUCCAGGUCAAAGGAGGCUCAUGGAUCUUGGGGAGAAGAUGGGCGAGGCCUGAGCUCUUAAUCAAGGACUGUCCAGAGAAAACAGGCUCCUGCCUUGAUCGCCAGAAGUGGUCAAGCAGUUUCAGCCUCUUGUGAGAGUGGAAAUUACCAGCAGUCUUGAGUGAUUUGAGUGAACGGUAAGACUUUAUUUUUAUUUCCCCCCCCAGUGGUUUUUGAUAUGUGAUUGUAGCAGGUUGACUGGUCGCAGGUGGUUUCAAUCACUUCACUCUCUGGACCAAUCAGGAAGUAACUGCAUGCUAUAUAGGCGGGGGUUUGACAUCUUGACCCCGUUACUUUGUUGCUGGAGGUACAUUUCCGCUCUGGGUCCUCUCGCGUUCGUGCCGCAGUCACGGUUGUGCAAUGGGUAAUGUAGUGUGCUUAAGUGUUUGUUACCUAAAGGCCUUGGUUGUGUUGGGAUGGCCAUUACAGCGUGUAUUGUCUUUUGCAGUGUCUCUCUGUUACAAACCCGAUCUUUCCUUUAAUGGAAUCGGGUUGAGUGUUGCUGCUGGUAGGUUGGACAAAUCUUUCUCCUCUGUGAAUAUUUUAAUGAAUGAGUGGUUAAGUAAUCUGCCGUUUUAUUGUAGGCUCUGUGUAGCUGUACGAUCGGCACUGCAGGUGUAUUGGUGCGAAGCUCCCUGACGGGUAUGUAUGUAUAUCAGUGGCAUCGCGUGUAUGUUCUUAAAUCAUAAACUGUCAUUGAAUUUGGUUUGUUUGUGCACGCCAGGGUUGUAAAAUUGCUUCACGUGCGCUGGUAUCUGCACCAGCCCCUCCCUUCCCUGCCACGGUGCUGUUUUGUCGCCGCUGACUUUGGGUUUAAACUACGUUCAACGGGUUGCAGCUACACAACUGUAAAUUCCUCCAGGCGUUGAGCGCCUCACAGCGCCCGGAUCUGUUGCUUAAAGUGACAGGGCUGUCUGAUUGCAACCCGGUUGAUAGUUUGCCUUUUUUUGGUUUGCCCGUGCUUGCUACUAUGUGUAUGGAGAUUGGGGUUUAUUUGUUAAAUUAUGAUUUUAAGUGAUGUUGGUUUAUAUUUCUAAGUUUCGAUAAGAAGACUAAUUUUGGUUGGAAUUCUAUUAUCUGUUAAUUUUGGUUAUUUUAGUUGGUAGGCUCUAGUGGUGCCGAAGGUGGUGGUGUGUCUCUCUCCAGUGUGCUGUGUUUUCCCCGUUUGGUUUAAUUUGAGUCGUUUGCUGCAGUGUGAUUGGGGUGAUCCUUCUCUGAGACCCCAUUGACCCUGUCCCUCCACCGGUAAGACCUCAGCACUUACUUUCCCUAUUUAGUAGGUCUGGUAUUUUAAAUGGUAUUUUAUAUUUGUUUUAGUAAUUGUAUUAAAUAAAAUCAUUGUUGUAACGGAACUACGUCUCUGGCUUCAUGCAUGAAUCAAAUCUGUGUGCUUUAGUAAAAUACUAUUCUCGGGGUGAAAUUCCCCGGGUGGCGUUGCCAGUGUCAUCAGUGUUGAGCGGGCCAAAAAGGCACUCCACACCAAAAGAGUUCCACUCGCCACAUAAUGCUUGUCAUGCAGGCUGUGUGACAGGUCUAAUAACAUGUUCUGUUUUUCCUAACUGUCAAGAGCCUGACUGGUGCAUAAUGUAUUAAAUGAAUCUGCUUCUAAUAUGUUGUAUGUCCUGAAAUAUGCCGCCCUCUUUAGCUGCUUCAUUUAAUAUUUGCAAUUUCCCUGUAUGUGCAAAAAGCUGCCAUCAUUGUUCGGGAAAAAUUCCGGUUGCGUUAGGUAAAGUAGUUUUAGAAGUGGCCCAGCAACUUCAGUAUGCUGUGAAAAUUGCCAGCUGACUUAUGGAUUUGAGUGAGAGGUAAGACCUUUUCUCCAGUACUGAUUUUGUUAUGUCAUGCAGGCUGUGUGACGGGUCUAAUACUGUUUAGAAGGCCUGACUGUUUUGCUUAUGCAUCUGCUUAUAAAUAUGUACUGAACUACGUGUGUGUGUGUGUGUGUGUGUGUGUGUAACUAUUUCUGGUUGGCUAAAGUACUGUUGUACUACUACGCAGAAAAAUUCAGAACACAAUUGGCUCCUGCCUCAAGUCUUCCAAAAAGUGGUCAAGCAGCUUUACCCCUCCUGUGAAAUUCUCCUGCCAACUUAGCGAUUCGAGUAACAGGGAAAGUGGAAGCCAACUGGUUCAAGACUUUCCUGACAUAAUGGACAGCUGACAGGAUUUGGCGGAAGGCAAGACCAGGGGUUGCGCUAAGUGUUAGGGGUUGCGCUAAGUGUUAGGGGUUGCGCUAAGUGUUAGGGGUUGCGCUAAGUGUUAGGGGUUGCGCUAAGUG